GGAAAUUGAGUAUUUGUUUUUCUUGGCAGUAGAAUAUUUUUCUAUGUGUAAAAAAAAUAUUUUAGUACUUGUAUUAAAUUCUCGAUUCAAUAAAAUUUAUCAUAACUCCAAGAAGUUAUUCACAAAACAAAGGAUAAAAUAUGCGAAUCCGAGUAAUUUGAAAUAUAAAGAGAAAAUAAAUUAGAUAUAGAUAUCCCUCUACUUACGUUUCGAAACUUUGAUCGUAAAUCUAAUUAAUUAUAAGUCAAAUAGAAUUUAUAUUUCAUAUAAGUAAAACGUUAUUUACCCGAAGUAUUUAAUUAUUUUAAUACUAAAAACGAUUAUAGAUCUCUAGUUAAAAAAUGACAAAGCAAACAUCUUUUAAUAAUUUAUAAUUCUUAAUUUAACGCUUUGCUAUUAUAAAAUCAAUAUUUAAUUUAAGCACAGAUUAAAUUCAACAAGUGAUUAAAAAGAACACUACUUUUUGUUAAAAAUAUUAAUGCUAAAAAAAAUAAAAAUGCUUAACUAUAUGUAAUAUUAUAAAUUAAUAUUUUAUUCGGAUUGCUAAGUUAACGAAUACUCAAUCAACCUCAUUAUAAUCCACUGGUUAACCUAACCUUUACGCGUGUGUACACGUAUUUCAUAAUCCACUGGUUAAUCUAACCUAACCUAACCUUCAUACGUGUGUAUUUCAUAAUACGCGGACUAUGUUGAAAAGUUAACCGAUGAACCGAAUCCCGACGGCCUAUGCACGGUGUUUACUUUUUGCAACGCACGGCCGCCGGCGUUUGUUUACAAACCUCGUCGCGCUAUCACUCGCACGCCAAGCCUCGAGGCGGUAGGACGCGUGCCGCCCUCGCUGCGCCGGUUGCAUCACUUAAUUUCCUUCGAAGCGCGAUCGUUUCCUUCGAAGACGAUCACACUCCCCGCGAACGUUACGAUUCACUCCCUACGCGAUUCACUCUCGUGAGAUUGCAAAUCCGUAGGCAUCGUAUCGCGAUUUCGACCGACGACGCAGAUGCGUGGCACUCGUUCGUGGAAGGUCGACGCGAGUCGAGGGGCAACGAGAAGAAAAAUUCACUGGUUACACUUGUCUCGCGACGACGAUCGUUCGUGGAACGGACACUUGGACCCCGAGAACAGCGGAGUAACACACACGAAUAGUCGAACGGAACACUCAAGAACGAUAUACGCACAUCGAUCGCUUUAGUCGGCAAUUGACUCGUGAUACGGGGGGACGGAGAGGCAGGGACGGAUAUUCAGUGUACAGUUAUUGUGCGUUAGAUAAUUUCGUGGUGUAUCGACACGACAAUGCCUGUCGGACCCCCCUUGCACUUGUGUAGUUAAGGUCAUCGCACGUACACUUCCGUAAUCGCCACUGUGAGAAAUAGAGCAACACACGAUUGGUUAAUUUUCGGACGAUUACGAUUGAUUUGAGCGAUACGAUUGGUCGAAAACUUACGAUUACGUUCAAGGGUCUUCACGGCUUCACGCAAGGACGCGGAGUGUCGUCACUCGCCCGGCGACUGGACUCGAGUGUGUCCGUGCGUCGUAGCUCCGCUCGCGUCGUAACGGUUUUUUUGCUUCCCCGAAACGCGACCGCGGCCAGGAUGUACUCGGAAACGGACGGUCCGCCUCCUCACGAGGGUAACGAGCACUCUCGGCGAGUGUACGCCUCCGCGCGAGCAAUUAAUUACCGCGAGUGGCGUUCCUCGCGAGCAGCGUAUCAAACGGCCGUUUGUCGACAAAGGGCACGUUCGGAGCCGUGUUAUUUCGUCGAUUUUCUCUCGGAUCGCGGGCACGUUAGAACAAUGCACGAGCCCCGGGAUAGCUCGAGAUAACGGGGAGCUCGGGAUACAUCGCUCGUACCAUAAAUAACGCAUGCAUCUCGCGGAAUUCGAGAUGCCCCCCCCUCCCCUCUCCCCCCUCGGAAAAGUAGCGUCUGUUUUGUGUGUGAUUCCGUGGGUUCGAGGCGUGGGAGAUUCCAUACGCCCCCCCGAAGUACGGAGCGGAUGACAAGUGACGCGUUAAGUUCGCUGUGAUCGUGAGCUUCCGCGACGCCAUGUUGCACGUCCCGACUGUCCCGAGCGGAGCAUCGUAGAUGCGUGCCCCUUUCGCGCCAUUUUCGUGGCUGGUUUCUGUGCUCGCUGUCGUUGUGCCACGCUGGAGGAAGAGUUUGAUCGGAGUUUGAUCCGGAGAAGAGACGAGUGUUCGAUUCGCGUACUUGACGCGUGAGAUAGGAUUCGUCUGUGAAACGACGGUUAUUCUCUCGGCUCGAGAAAGUGCCACGGCAUUGCGUGCGACCGACGGGAGUGGCGUACAAAGUGUCGCGCGAUCGUCAUAUUCUGAAAAUUAGUUCGCGUAAUUAAUCGCGUUUCCGCGAACGGACGUGUGCGUGUGUGAGUGAGUGAGAAACGACAGGGAGGAGGAGGAGAAGGAGGGAAGCCUGAGAUGCAUCGGCAGAGCAACCAAGGAAUCAACAUUAGAGAUACAUCUCCGCUGUUUCGUAUCGUAUCGAAAAUAACAACCUGGAGAGUGUCACAUCGAGAAUGUCCUGCGAAGCUGACAACUUAGGCAGUCGGAGAGAAGGAGGAAGCGUAGGGAAGGCAUCGAGCGCGUUGGUGAAGCAACCUUGGGGUAAGUCUAAUUGAUUUAAAUACAUUAUAUCUUAUAUAUAUGUAUAGAGAGAGAGAGAAAGAGAGAGAGAGAGAGAAAUUUGUUUUGCAUUCCCUAUUAACUGAAUUUAGAAAAUUAGAAAAAAUUGAAAAAAAUUGGAGAAAAAGUUUAAUAAUACCUAUGAAAAGAACUUCACAGAACUCUUACGGAUUUUGGUCAUCAGUGAAAUAAAGUGAAACUAUAGUAUAUUAUAAUUCUUAGCACAUUGAUCAAAAAUUUUCCUGGGCACAUAGAUUGAAACUGAUUAAUUUUCUUUCUACAAACAUUUAAAAUGUUGUAUUUUCUUAUUAUUAAAAGUAAUAUUUCAAAUCAAAUUUUUUUGUAAUAAAUUGUAACGACUUUUAAUGAUUUUUUGAUAAAUAAAUAAAAAACUACAAUAUACUACAAUCUUAGACAAUUUCUAAAAUCCAAAGCCAAAAUCUUUGAGAAUUGUGCAAGUCUUUUGUAUUUAAUGAAUUGGUUCAAUCAGGUAAUAUAAUACGGUAAUAAGUUAAGACUAUAAUUUUCCACGCACAUAUUCGAUCGCACAGUGGAAAUGAAAGGAAAUAUCGUCUCGAAUUAAUUGUUGUACACAAUUGAUCGUGUAAUGAAUCCUAAUUAAGAUUCCAUUCUCUUCUGUCGGAUGAUCACGAUAACUACGGGUAAGAAUAUCACGCGAAUAAAUAGGUAGAGAUAUGAACAGGUAAAUUGAAAUACAAAUCAAUAGGAAUAAUGAUUGUAAUUUGAAAAUAUGAUUAAUUUUGUAAUAAAUGAAAGAUAUGUAAAAUUAAAGUUAUGUUAAAAUUUUAUAAUAUUUAAUUUA